CAAAAACAGGAAAAGACAACCCGGAAGUAAAACUUCGAGCGGGUUUGUUUUGUUCUUGCCUCGUGAACGUAUACAUACUAGCAGAAUACCCAACUCUCAGUCCCUGAAACAUGUCUAAACUACAGUUGUUUCGUAUGUUCUUAAACGAGCGUUUAACAGCGGCAGCUGUGGAGAUUUUCGGGACAGUUGAGCAAACGGUAGUGGAGUACCAGGAGGAGAAUGAUCGGCUACGGAGACUACUGCGGGUCACACCGGAUAUAAAACGAUGCAGAAUAGAUUCCCUGCAGCUCUCUCUCACUGUCUCUGAAGAGGAGGUUCUCCCUGAGCAGCAGCACUGUGAGCAGGAGUGGAGCCCCAGUCUGGGGCAGGAGAACCCAGAGCUUCCACAGAUUAAAGAGGAACAGGAGGAACUCAGGACCAGUCAGGAGGAAGAGCAGCUUCAAGGGCUGGAGGCUGAUAUCAUUGAGUUCAAAUUUACUCCUUCCUGUGUGAAAAGUGAAUGUGAUCAGGAGGACCCACUUCAGCCCUUCACUUCUCCCCAAACCCAGACUGUGGAGAACAGAGAGUGUGACCCUAAACAAGUGGAUCUCACACCUUUUGUUACUGUGACCCACCUAAAGGGUCUCCACAUUCCCUGUGACCCUCCAGAUAACCACAACGGUGCCUCCCGCCAAAGCUCAGCCGUAAUCAGCGACCCAGUAGGACUUAACAGCAACCCGCCAUUGGAUCCCAGCUCAUCAUUGAAUCCAAACCCAUCAAUAGGUGAACACUGUUCCAAACCCAGCACCACGUCUACAAAAACUCACCACUGCAGUGACUGUGGUGAAAUGUUUGCUCUGAAAGCUGACCUGAAGAGGCAUGUGACUCUUGCCAUGCAGAGACCCAGUGAAUGCCGCUUCUGCAACAAACGCUACAACUCCAGCUGUAAACUGAAGGCCCAUUCCCAACUCUGUCGCGGUAGGAAACCCUGCACCAGCCCUGUUUGUAGCAAGACCUUCAAACUCAACGCAGAUCUGUCCAAGCACAUGAGGAUUCACACUGGGGAGAAAACAUUUAGUUGUGGUUACUGUGGGAAGGGCUUCAAUCGCAAGGGGAACCUUACUGAUCAUAUUCCUAUUCACACAGGGGAGAAAGCAUUUAACUGUGCUGACUGCGGGAAAAGAUUCAGUCAGAAGGGGACCCUACGGAAGCAUAGACUGACUCACACUGUAGAGAAACAAUUUAUCUGUGGAGACUGUGGGAAAAGCUUCUAUCAGAAGGGGGACCUAAGUAGGCAUAUACGGACUCACACAGGAGAGAAACUUUUUAUCUGUGGUGACUGUGGGAAAAGCUUCAAUUUGAAGGGGAACCUAAAGAAGCAUGAACUGACUCACACAGAAGAUAAACCAUUUAGCUGUGGUGACUGUGGGAAAAGCUUCAAUCACAAGUCUAACUUACUGACGCAUGUUAAAAACAUCCACAAAGGAGGAAAACAUGCUCUCUGCUACUCUCUGGUCUACAUGGAGGGCCGAGCUACUUUACAUCUGUCUGGAAGGAGAGAUGGAGGUCACAGAAUGAGGGUUCUAGUCUCAACACUUUCCAAGGCUUUAGAGGAAAAUACAAACUUUUCAGGUCAUGUGACAACUGCCAUCCUCUAACAGUGGCACUGCUAACACGUUUGUUAAAUGUAUGCCCUUUGGAUAAAAGCUUCUGCUAAAUGGCAUAUACAAUGGAGUCUGAUAUGAUUGACGUCCUUGAUAAAUAUGAGCAAUAAUGACUGUAUAAAAUAAAUAAUUCAAAUGCUGAGCUAUUUUGUGUGCUUAAAAAAAUUGGGAAAGUAUAUUAUUUUAUAUGAAUACAAAUGUUCAGAAAAAUAAUACCUUUUUUUCUCUUAGAAGAGUAAUGGUAAACAUUAACACCCCUGAAUAUUCUAAUAAAUAAAGUAGACAAAAUACUACAUCAAUCCUGUGACUCUACGAACUCUACAAACGUUUGUUUUGGUUUCAGAUUAUUUUGUGCCCAAUAGAAAUGAAUGGUAAAUAAUGUAUUGUCAUUUUUGAGUCCGUUUUAUUGCAAAUAAGAAUACCUUUUGGGGGAAAAUUGUAUUAGUAUAAAAUAAUACCUUAUAGCAAAGUAUUUGAAUGAUUUAUUUUGUACAGUCAUUAUUGCUAAUCUUUAUCAAAGAUAAUUUUAUAAUAAUUUUAGAUCCCACUGUAUUAUGAACUCAGUGGUGACACUUCUGCUUUCCUACCACUAAAGAUGUCUCCCCACUAGAUGGCACUGUUUAAGAUGUCUCCCCACUAGAUGGCACUGUUUAAGAUGUCUCCCCACUAGAUGGCACUGUUUAAGAUGUCUCCCCACUAGAUGGCACUGUUUAAGAUGUCUCCCCACUAGAUGGCACUGUUUAAGAUGUCUCCCCACUAGAUGGCACUGUUUAAGAUGUCUCCCCACUAGAUGGCACUGUUUAAGAUGUCUCCCCACUAGAUGGCACUGUUUAAGAUGUCUCCCCACUAGAUGGCACUGUUUAAGAUGUCUCCCCACUAGAUGGCACUGUUUAAGAUGUCUCCCCACUAGAUGGCACUGUUUAAGAUGUCUCCCCACUAGAUGGCACUGUUUAAGAUGUGACUGCAGUAUCCCUGUAUAUCAAACCUGUUAGUCAUUUCAUCUUAUUUUCCAGAGACCUAUGAGGGCAUAUUGUAAAAUAAAUCAUUGCUAUAAAUCAUAAACCAUUACUAAACACAUGUUAUUACAGCCAAACAGGACCAUGCUAAGCUGAACCAGACAUGACUGACCAUGGGAAUGAGGGAAUAUGUUAUAGAUGUUGUGUACUGUGGGGUCAGAGGUGACUAAAUCAGGAUUAGGUUCACAACACCAGGAGAGUCAAAGUAAACAGGUGUGUGUUAUCCAGAUUGACCACAAUGUGGAGGAGUGGGACUUUAACUGUAUGCAUUAGUCUACUACAAUAGAAAGAGGUGUAGACUGGGUAUCUGCUUAAAUGUUCCCAAAAGGAGGACAUCUUUCAUUCUAUACAUACAGGCUUCUAGACUAAUGAAUGUUGAGUAAAUAAAACUAAACACAUGUUUGCUCCUCAGUGUCCCUCUGAUUAAGAGGUGUCUGCAUGACAUCCUACUACAGCAAAAGGAAAUCAGCUAGCUGGCCAAUGAGGUGGAUCUAUUACACUAACAAGGAUCCUUCCAGUAGCCUACAACAACAUGAGAAGAGAGAGUGUUUGGUUACCACAGGACCACUGGCUAGAAGAGCAGUAGGUUACAGGCCUAUAACUAUCAGGAUGGGCAUACUACUCCCUGCAGCUCUCUCUCACUGUCUCUGAAGAGGAGGUUCUCCCUGAGCAGCAGCACUGUGAGCAGGAGUGGAGCCCCAGUCUGGGGCAGGAGAACCCAGAGCUUCCACAGAUUAAAGAGGAACAGGAGGAACUCAGGACCAGUCAGGAGGAAGAGCAGCUUCAAGGUCUGGAGGCUGAUUUCAAAUUCACUCCUUCCUGUGUGAAAAGUGAAUGUGAUCAAGAGGACCUACUUCAGUCCUUGACUCUUCCCCAAACCCAGACUGUGGAGAACAGAGUGCAUGACCCUAAACAAGUGGAUCUCACACCUUUUGUUACUGUGACCCACCUUAAGGGUCUCUACAUUUCAUGUCACCCUCUAUAUGAUCAAAACAAUGCCUCUAGCCACAGCUCAGCCGUAAGCAGUGACCCAGUAGGACUUGACAGCAGCCCAUCAUUGGAUCCCAGCCCGUCAUUGGAUCCCAGCCCGUCAUUGAAUCCCAGCCCGUCAUUGAAUCCCAGCCCGUCAUUGAAUCCAAACCUAUCAAUAGGUGAACACUGUUCCAAACCCAGCACCACGUCUAGAAAAACUCACCACUGCAGUGACUGUGGUGAAAUGUUUGCUCUGAAAGCUGACCUGCAGAAGCAUGUGCCUUUCUACAAGAAGAGACUCAGUGAAUGUCGCUUCUGCAGAAUACGCUACGACUCCACCUGUACACUGACGGCCCAUAUCCUUCUCUGUCACAGUGGGAAGUGUGGUGACUGUGGGAAAAGCUUCCAUCGCAAGCAACACUUAACAAUGCACAUGGUGACUCAUACAGGAGAGAAACCAUUUAGCUGUGGUGACUGCGGGAAGAGUUUUAGUCAAAAGGGGACCCUAACCUUGCAUAUUCUUACUCACACAGGAGAGAAACCAUUUAGCUGUGGUGACUGUGGGAAAAGCUUCACUCGGAAGGGGACCCUAAAGAUGCAUAUACGGACUCAUACAGGAGAGAAACCAUUUAGCUGUGGUGACUGUGGGAAAGAUUUCAGUUAUAAACAGACCUUGUCUUUACAUAUGCUGACUCACACAGGAGAGAAAUCAUGACUGGGGAAAGCUUAAGUCAGAAGGGGAACCUAAGGGACCAUAAACUGAUUCUGUAACAUCUAUUUCUCCCUCCAGACAGAUGUAAAGUAACUAGACCAGAGAGUAGCAGAGAGCACUGUGGAGAGAAACAGCAGGUUACCAAUAGAAUAGAUCAGAGGAACUUUAAUCCUGAAGCAUGGAGAGCAGAUCCCUAGGAGAGGUAUCAUCGUAUCGUCCUUCACCAACCACCGGAUGUGAGUCUAUGAGCGUGUAUUCAGUCUCUCAACACUGUCUGAGGCUUUUUAGAGGAAAAUACUGCCUUUUCAGGUCAUGUCACAAGUCUGACUGUGGCACUUCUAAUGAACUCAGUGCUGACACUUCUCCUUUCUCCCCACUAGAUGGUACUGUUGGACAUGUUACCCAUUACUAAACUACACACACACUGUAUUAUAGCUAAACAGGACCAUGCUAAACUGAACCAGACAUGACUGACCUGGACAGGACUGACCAUAAGGGGAUGUCAUAGAAUAAAUGGUGUGUACUGUGGGGUCAAAGGUGACUGUAAAAUGAUUUGGUUGUCAACACCAGGAGUGUCAAAGUACAAAUGUGUGUUAUUCAGAUUUAUCCCAAUGUGGAGGAGUAUACAUUACUACAAUAGAAAGAGGUGUAGACUGGUUAUCUGCUUAAAUGUUCCCAAAAGGAGGACAUCUUUCAUUCUAUACAUACAGGCUUCUAGACUAAUGAAUGUUGAGUAAAUAAAACUAAACACAUGUUUGCUC